UACGUAGGGGGCAAGCGUUGUCCGGAAUCAUUGGGCGUAAAGCGCGUGUAGGCGGCUCGAUAAGUCUGCUGUGAAAGUCCAGGGCUCAACCCUGGGAUGCCGGUGGAUACUGUCGAGCUCGAGUCCGGAAGAGGCGAGUGGAAUUCCUGGUGUAGCGGUGAAAUGCGCAGAUAUCAGGAGGAACACCAAUGGCGAAGGCAGCUCGCUGGGACGUGACUGACGCUGAGACGCGAAAGCUAGGGGAGCAAACAGG
rnacentral:rRNA from 1 species